CUCAAUUGCUGGAAAAUUGCGUCAAACUUACGUUUCGUUUCACAGCCCAAUACAAAUAAUUAAUACAACGUGAAUAUAUGUAUGUAUGUAUCAAUCCUCGUCUCACACGCGGAACACUAGCAACUUUAACUGAAAUGUAUACAGAAAUUUAACAGUUAUUGCUUACAUUAACAGCAAAGCGGCAAUACAAUUUGUCACUGCUUCGACACAAAGCAAACACCUACUUGCAAUAUCGGUGGCAUAACGAGCGCCCCACACAUUCUGUCCGCUCUGAGUUUUUCGCUGCCUGGGUGUGUGUUGACCGAUUCGAACAAGUAUCGCACAUCGAACACAGUGUAAGCAACGGGUGUUUCCAAAGAGCGUCCACCACGGUAAAUUAGGUAAUGAGGCAUUUACUUGUUUAUGUCCUGCAGAAAUAUGCAAGUGGAAUUCUUUGGUAAUAUUUGUCAAGGUAUUUCCUAUUAACUAGUAUUUAAGAUAAUAUCACUCCUUAUCAAUUUAAUUAGAUUAGUAUAAGGGUAAUGGCAAACUUAUCCACCAAUGAUAUUAUUCAAAUCAUA